rnacentral:lncRNA from 1 species
UCUACACCACUAUCCUUGUUUAGUUGUGGAUUGCAGCUUCCAUUCACUGGCAAAUAAUUACUGAAGAUGUUAAACAAGACAAAGCAAAUAACGUCCCCUAUUUGCUCCUAAGCACUGAGGCCAAAUUUAGGACAUGCCUUCAUGUUAUAUCUGUUGUGUUCCACUAAUCUUGUAAUCCUAUCAAUCAAGUAAUUGUAGUUGUCUGACCAAUUAUUUCUUCAUAAGCCUGUGCUGCCUUUCGUCCGUGUCUGUGUUACUGGCUAAAAGUUGAAUGUUGUUAAUGUCUUUGCAUGUGUUCCAUUCCAGACAAACCAGAUUUCCCCAGAGGUCCCAGGCUAUCUGCGUCUUUCCAGAUCAAUCUUCCAGCCUUGCUUCUGGGAAGCGCAGAUUUUUCUCAACGUGUGCUCGAACAGGCAAUCGAGGGAGGCGUGCUGGGGCCGCGUCAUGCUGAGCGCGCCGUGAUACAGGCUCUGGGCCCCGCUUCGGCGCUCUACGGGCUGCCGUAACACCUACCCUGCGAAGGCAAAGCAAACUGGUUUUGAUGCCAUCGUUAACAUAGCCUGAACC